UCUGGUAGACUGCUCACCAGUAUAUAUGACAUCACUGAAAUCAAUUGAUUUUUUUAAAAAAAAAUUAAAUUAAACAUCGUUAAUGCUGCUUUGGGUUGUGGCCUGGCUGUGUAACAUGUUACACCUCGUAACACCUGUAGGUCAAAUUAAAAAAAUCAGACUAACAAAGUGAACAUAAAAAUUGCUCUCUUCCAUGCUCUAUCCUGGAUUGGGCUUGCUCCAGAUUUGAAGGGUCCUUGGAAAAAAUGCCUUGCAGUGGGUCCUCUCCUGUGUCAUUGAGCUAGAAGGCUUCCUGGCUGGCAGCACUCCAGGGCCCUGUCAGUUCCUGCCUUCAUUCUGCAGUGAAAAUUAUGUGGACAGUCUGCUUUUCAACCUUCUGGCAUUGGUGUGGAGAUCUGAUUGCAAUGAAUGGUCCUCAGGAUGGCUUGAGACAUCUUCAUGAACAUUAGCAAGGAAAUUAUAGGAAAUCACAUUAUCAAGGGUGGGAGGACCCAGAUUUUUAACUCUAUUAGGGACAUUAAAUGAGAUACAAACUGCACCAGCGAGUCCCAGGAAAAACAGCAGGUGUGGAUGCAGCCUAAUAGAGCAUGUAAGUCCAGAAUUAACAUUUCCAGAUUGGAAACCAUGUUAGUCUGUGGCAAUAAAAACAAGUCUCUGGAUUAGCAUGGUUUCUGAUUCAGUUGUUGAUAGGACAACUAUGAAAUGUUGGUAAUGUGUUGUUGCUCUCUGCUGGCCAUUAAUGGAACUGCAGAGAAAAAGUUCACAUAGCCACUUGCUGCAAACAGCUCUCUCUCUCUCUCUCUCUCUCUCUCUCUCAUGCUGAUUAUUGACACCCUAAUUCAGCAGAAAACUCCAGUAAUCUUCAGUGGGAUUCACAGUCCCACUGUCAGUUCCUGCCCUGAUCUUGUUCUGCUAAAAAUGUAAACUUCCCAGAAAUCUUAAAGCUUGCAAAAAUUAAAUAAAUGUUUUAUUGAUUGA